AUCACUUUAUUACUGCAUUUUCUACUUGUAGACUGGGCUGCUGAAUCAUCAGUGCCACAGGAUCCAACCUUUGCAAAGUGUGAGAUUUGAAUGAACAAAGGACAAUGUUGGGAACCAAUAAGGGUUCCUUACCAAGCAAAACAAUACCUCCCCUUCCUACAGUUUGGAUGCUUCCCUUCCCAUGGCUCUUGGAACCCACACGCCUGAAGACAAAGCAAUGAUUUGGCAAAAGCUAACCAACAAACAAAACAAGCAAAUAUGCCUUGCCUAACAUUAACUACUGCAAGUCACUGUGAUAGGUAGAUAGGUGCUAUAUUUGCUUUGCUGCCUGAAAAUCCCUAAAAUGCUCCCCCAAAUGGUCCCUGAUUUGAACUUUGUUAUGCUACUUCUAUAAGAGUAUAAUGAAGUUUUCCUCCUCUUAGCUUCAGAAAGAAAGAUAAUAAUUCAUUUCUUAGGUUGCACUUAAGAAAAUAGAAAAUAGCAGAGGAAAGAGGCCUCAGGCUGAAUCACCCUCUCACUUGCCUUCACCCUGUUCCUGAGACAAAGGAGGUUUAGUCCCUCCUUGUAAACCUUAGGGGAACUGGAGUCCAUUCCAAAGGUGAGUGUAUGUUUGUGUUUGCACAUGUGUGUUUGUGUAUCUAAGUACAGAAGAGCAUGAGAAUGACUGAUAUAUGAUAUAUUGACUAAAGCUAGAAUUCUCUUGGGAUAAAUCUUGCCUUUUUGCAGCUCAUUUCUACCAGCAGUGGAAAGUAACUAACAUUUGUUGAACACCUAAAUGUUCUAGUAUUUUCCUACGCCUUUUAUUUAUGUCAUUGCUAUUUUUAUAAAUGCCUGAAAUGAGGUAAUAUUAAUAUUGUCAUUUUACCAAGAAAGCCACAGAAACUCCUAGCAAUUAAAUAACUCAAUCAAGAUCACAUUAUUUAUAAAUAGCAGGAGAGACUUGAACCCAACCAAGUUUUCUUGUCUCAGAAGACCUCUCCCAAGUAUAAGCACUUCUAUUCAAAGCCCAAUGAGGGCCAAAUUGUACAAAAACUCACAUCACAGGAAAUUUAAUUUACUUCAGAGUGAUAGAAUUGUUUUUUUAAAUCACUGAAAGUUACUUUUUGACAAAUAGAAAUACAUAUUUUUUUAUUUAUUAAGCAUGAAUUUAUUGGGAAUUAUUCUACAGAGCAGAAUUUAUUCAAACAUAGGAUGUAAGAAUUUUCUUCUACUUUUUAAAAAUUUGGAAAUAUAUUUAUUAUACAAC
rnacentral:lncRNA from 1 species